rnacentral:rRNA from 1 species
GUCCUUUUGAAUUUAAUUUAAGGUCUAACCUGCCCACUGAAUUAGAAUUUAAAUGGCCGCAGUAAUUUGACUGUGCAAAGGUAGCAUAAUCAUUAGUUUUUUAAUUGAAAGCUUGUAUGAAGGGUUGGACGAGGUAAAAUCUGUCUCUAAUAAAAUUAAUUUAGAAUUUAACUUUUAAGUCAAAAGGCUUAAAUUUAUCUAAAAGACGAGAAGACCCUAUAGAUCUUUAUAAUUUUUUUAUUAAAUUUAAUUAAGAAUUUUUAGAAUUUUAAUAAUAUAAUUAUUUUAUUGGGGUAAUAUAAAGAUUAAAAUAAUUCUUUUUUUUUAUUAACAUUGAUUUAUGAAUAUUUGAUCCAAUUUUAUUGAUUAUAAGAUUAAGUUACCUUAGGGAUAACAGCGUAAUUUUUUUAGAGAGUUCAUAUCGAUAAAAAAGUUUGCGACCUCGAUGUUGGAUUAAAGAUUAUUUUAGGUGUAGAAGCUUAGAAAUUUGGUCUGUUCGACCAUUAAAUCUUUACAUGAUCUGAGUUCAGACCGGUGUAAGCCAGGUCGGUUUCUAUCUUUAGUAAAUUAAAAUAUUUUAGUACGAAAGGACCAAUUAUUUAAUAUAAAAUAUUUAAAUUUUGAUUAAUAUUAAAA